rnacentral:rRNA from 1 species
UACGUAGGGAGCGAGCGUUAUCCGGAAUUAUUGGGCGUAAAGGGUGCGUAGAUGGUUGAUAUAAGUCUUUUGUAAAAAUGCUAGGCUCAACCUAGUAGGGCAAAAGAUACUGAUGAACUAGAGUACGGCAGAGGCAAGUGGAACUACAUGUGUAGCGGUAAAAUGCGUAGAUAUCACGCAGAACCCCGAUUGCGAAGGCAGCAUACCGGUGCACAACUGACGCUCAGGCACGAAAGCGUGGGUAUCGAACAGG